rnacentral:lncRNA from 1 species
CGGGCGAAACUUCAUCAUCUUACACCAGACUCCUUUGUUGCCUUGUCCAAGUUUUAUUGGGUGCAACGCACGUGUGGUGGUCACAUUGAUGUGGAUGGCUUCACGAGGCUUUUCGAGCUUUAUAUCCAGAAGAAAAGGGUUAUCUUCGACGAUGAAGUGGGUACGUUUGAGAACCAAUUUGGAUGUUGCACUUUUAACACUCGGAGGAAAAAUGUGAAAUAGGGGAUCAAGAGGGUUGAGUUGUCAUAUGCGCAGAAGAAUAGAUGGGAUCAAAAUCUUGGGAAGGAAGUAAUCAGCUUUAUGCAAGGAGAAGAUUAAGGUAUAGAUCAAGCCUGCUUACAUUUUACUUUUCA